rnacentral:rRNA from 1 species
GAUGAACGCUGGCGGCAUGCCUAAUACAUGCAAGUAGAACGCUGAAGGAGGAGCUUGCUCUUCUGGAUGAGUUGCGAACGGGUGAGUAACGCGUAGGUAACCUGCCUGGUAGCGGGGGAUAACUAUUGGAAACGAUAGCUAAUACCGCAUGACAACAGUUAUUGCAUGAUAACUGUUUAAAAGGGGCAACUGCUCCACUACCAGAUGGACCUGCGUUGUAUUAGCUAGUUGGUGAGGUAACGGCUCACCAAGGCGACGAUACAUAGCCGACCUGAGAGGGUGAUCGGCCACACUGGGACUGAGACACGGCCCAGACUCCUACGGGAGGCAGCAGUAGGGAAUCUUCGGCAAUGGACGGAAGUCUGACCGAGCAACGCCGCGUGAGUGAAGAAGGUUUUCGGAUCGUAAAGCUCUGUUGUAAGAGAAGAACGAGUGUGAGAGUGGAAAGUUCACACUGUGACGGUAUCUUACCAGAAAGGGACGGCUAACUACGUG